rnacentral:rRNA from 1 species
AGAGUUUGAUCAUGGCUCAGAAUGAACGCUGGCGGCGUGCUUUACACAUGCAAGUCGAGCGAGGCGGCCCGCAAGGGUCAGUCGAGCGGCGAACGGGUGAGUAACGCGUGGAUAACCUGCCCUGAGGUGGGGAAUAACCCGGGGAAACUCGGGCUAAUACCGCAUGAAACCGAGAGGUCAAAGCGGGGUCGCAAGAUCUCGCGCCACAGGAGGGGUCCGCGUCCGAUUAGCUGGUUGGUGGGGUAAAGGCCUACUAAGGCGACGAUCGGUAGCCGGCCUGAGAGGGUGAUCGGCCACACUGGAACUGAGACACGGUCCAGACUCCUACGGGAGGCAGCAGUGGGGAAUUUUGCGCAAUGGGCUAACGCCUGACGCAGCAACGCCGCGUGGAGGAUGAAGGUCUUUGGAUUGUAAACUCCUGUCAGCGGGGAAAAAGGGACUCGACCUCAUACGUCGGGGACUUGAUUGUACCCGCAGAGGAAGCCCCGGCUAACUCUGUGCCAGCAGCCGCGGUAAUACAGAGGGGGCAAGCGUUAUUCGGAAUUAUUGGGCGUAAAGGGCGCGUAGGCGGCUUUGCAAGUGACGGGUGAAAUCCCUCGGCUUAACCGAGGAACUGCCUGUCAGACUGUGAGGCUUGGGACCGGGAGAGGUGAGUGGAAUUCCCAGUGUAGCGGUGAAAUGCGUAGAUAUUGGGAGGAACACCAGUGGCGAAGGCGGCUCACUGGACCGGAACUGACGCUGAGGCGCGAAAGCGUGGGGGAGCAAACAGGAUUAGAUACCCUGGUAGUCCACGCCGUAAACGAUGAGUGCUUGGUGUAGCGGGUAUCGACCCCUGCUGUGCCGAAGUCAACACAUUAAGCACUCCGCCUGGGGAGUACGGUCGCAAGACUGAAACUCAAAGGAAUUGACGGGGGCCCGCACAAGCGGUGGAGCAUGUGGUUUAAUUCGAAGCAACGCGCAGAACCUUACCUGGUUUGAACUGCAGUGGAAAGGGUCAGAGAUGACUUCCUCUCUUCGGAGGCCGCUGUAGAGGUGCUGCAUGGCUGUCGUC